rnacentral:rRNA from 1 species
GAUGAACGCUGGCGGCGUGCCUAAUACAUGCAAGUCGAGCGAACAGACGAUGAGCUUGCUCCUCUGACGUUAGCGGCGGACGGGUGAGUAACACGUGGAUAACCUACCUAUAAGACUGGGAUAACUUCGGGAAACCGGAGCUAAUACCGGAUAAUAUAUUGAACCGCAUGGUUCAAUAGUGAAAGACGGUUUUGCUGUCACUUAUAGAUGGAUCCGCGCCGCAUUAGCUAGUUGGUAAGGUAACGGCUUACCAAGGCGACGAUGCGUAGCCGACCUGAGAGGGUGAUCGGCCACACUGGAACUGAGACACGGUCCAGACUCCUACGGGAGGCAGCAGUAGGGAAUCUUCCGCAAUGGGCGAAAGCCUGACGGAGCAACGCCGCGUGAGUGAUGAAGGUCUUCGGAUCGUAAAGCUCUGUUAUUAGGGAAGAACAAAUGUGUAAGUAACUAUGCACGUCUUGACGGUACCUAAUCAGAAAGCCACGGCUAACUACGUG